rnacentral:rRNA from 1 species
UCCCAGUUCGGAUUGCAGUCUGCAACUCGACUGCAUGAAGCCGGAAUCGCUAGUAAUCGCGGAUCAGAAUGCCGCGGUGAAUACGUUCCCGGGUCUUGUACACACCGCCCGUCACACCAUGGGAGUCGGAAAUGCCCGAAGCCGGUGGCCUAACCGAUAAGGGAGGAGCCGUCGAAGGCAGGUCUGAUGACUGGGGUGAAGUCGUAACAAGGUACC